rnacentral:rRNA from 1 species
CGGGAAACCGGAGCUAAUACCGGAUAAUAUUUCGAACCGCAUGGUUCGAUAGUGAAAGAUGGUUUUGCUAUCACUUAUAGAUGGACCCGCGCCGUAUUAGCUAGUUGGUAAGGUAACGGCUUACCAAGGCGACGAUACGUAGCCGACCUGAGAGGGUGAUCGGCCACACUGGAACUGAGACACGGUCCAGACUCCUACGGGAGGCAGCAGGUC